CUAUGAACCACCUACGAAUUGUGAGAAGGAAAUUGCAGGGCAGCUACGACAGUGCCUGGUGCCUGGGGAGUGCUUGACAGAUUCAGGUUGAAGAAACAAAGGAUGUCUGAGAUGCCCAGCGUGGGUGAGUGCACCCUCCCUCCCUGGCUCUGCUCCUCCCCCUCCCCGGAACCACCACCCCCUCAGCCCUGAGCUGCCGAUGCCCUCGGGGUUCUGUUUUCAUUCCAGGCUGUGGAUCCGGUCGUGGGAAGCAGAGUGAACUUCUAGGUUCUGAGCUGACUCCUUGGAAACCCUAGACUCCAGGGACGCGCUUCUAGAACCUGCUCUGAUUGCUACUCAGUUAACAGCCUGGCCCAGGAGGAUUGCAACACCCAGCCUGGCUCCCAGGCAAGCUAAAGAGGCCUUGAUGAUGGGAAAAGGUUAAGGGGUACGUGGAGAGAAAGAAGGAUCAGAAGGCGGAAACAUCAUAGACCUCCUGGGAUGCCUUCUGCAGGAUCACAGAGAAGGCAAAAUUUGUCCUCCUGACUACAAGAUGCCAAGAUACAUUUGUAUCGAGCCACUGAAUUCUCUACCCCUUCUGUAGAGGUGGUUGGGGAAGAGCUGCAGUAGGAAGCUGGGUCCCAAGUAAUGAAGGACCUUUAGAAGCAGAAGGUGUUACGGUGGGGGCAAAGGACUGAACUCUGACCAACCAGAAGAAAGGAAAAACUGGAGUUCCUUUCCCCUAGGUCUGCCUUUCUUUCUCAGGGUCUCUAUUUACUUCUCAUGCACUUGACUCUCUGCUUCCCUCUCCCUCAUUUCCACAAAGGGGCCCAAGCUUCACGUGCAUCUCGCACCCCCGCACCUUGUGGGCAGGAAAUCUGAGCACAGGCAUUUCCUGUACGCUGACAAAUGCCCACUGCAAAGAGCCCCAGCCUGAAGGUGGCCCUGUCUCCUAGUUAUGUCCCUCCCCAUCCUUAUCUCCCCAGGCUCCAGCCCUCACCAGCAGGGACUCAACAAAUGCAUCUGUCAGAUGAGUCAUGGGACCAGAAGCUUGGGAGAAGACAUGCAGAGCCAACCACUAACAAAACUGGCAAAUGAAAUAAAUGCCCAGAAACCUGCUCCAUCCCCAGCAUUCCUUAAGUCCUAUAAAUUGCACCACCUUUUACCAGUUUUCAGAAACUAAAAGUCAUCCUUGACAUCCGUCCAAUCAAUCACCUCCUAUUUAUCUCCCAAAUUCAUUCUUUUUUUUUUUUCUUUUUGAGACAGAGUUUUUGCUCUUGUUGCCCAGGCUGAAGUGCAAUGGCAUGAUCUCAGCUCCCUGCAACCUCCACCUCCCAGGUUCAAGCCAUUCUCCUGCCUCAGCUUUCCUGAGUAGCUGGGAUUACAGGCAUGCGCCACUACGCCUGGCUAAUGUUGUAUUUUUAGUAGAGAUGGGGUUUCUCCAUGUUGGUCAGGCUGGUCUUGAACUCCCAACCUGAGGUGAUCCACCCACCUUGGCCUCCCAAAGUGCUGGGACUACAGGUGUGAGCCAUCACACCCGGCAAAUUCAUUUUUAUAAUCUUGCCACCCCCACAACCACUGCCCUCAUGGACCCUGGGCAUGCCUCACCUGAAUUACAGAAAUUCCCUCCCAGCUGGUAAAACUGUUUGUGUGUGGCUCUCCUUCAUUCCAUCCUCCCUGGUUUAGCCAGAGAAAUAAUUCUAAAAUGUACACAUCCCAAAGCAUCUCAUUUUCCUGCAUGCAGUCUUUCAUCAUCCAUUCACUAACUGGAGGACAACAUCUGAAUUUAUUAGUGAGCAUACAAAGGCUUUUCAUCUGCUGAACCCAGCCCAUCUGCUACCAUUUCCCUGGUCUCCGGUCAGAACUAGUGACUGUCCCAUAAACAGGUUCUGCUGGACUUCCAGUCAAGAUGGAGCGUUGAGUUCUCUGUUCCAACCACAAACCAGCAGUAAAUAAAACAUUUUCGCAUAUAACCCAACACACACAGUUGGGCUCAAAAACAAGGCAAGCUUUCUGUGAACCAGAAGCAAGAACAGAGCCCAAAAUCACUAAAUGGGGCUGUGACUGACAUGCUGCUGGGCUCUGAGUCCAAAAGCGUUUUAGAGAAGCCAGGAGCCCAGUUACCUUAGAAAGGGCAGUGACUAAGAUGAACACCAGGGAUCUUCUGGAGGCCAAGAAUGUUCUUUUUGUGCUCUGGGGGUUUAUUACACAGGAGCAUUCGCUUUGUGAAAACUCAUCGAGGUGCCCCUUUACGAUUCAUGUGCGUUUCUGUAUAUCUGUUAUAUUUCAAUAGAAAUGUUUACUUGAAAAACAUUGUCCUGGGAGAAAGCCUAGAGGAAGACCCUACUUUUAGAUGCUGGAGACCAGGGUAGGGUGAGGUAAAGUGGGGUGGAAAUAGAGCACAGCCUCAAAGUGAGGACCCAUGCCAAGCCACCCACAGCUCCUCAUCUGGACUGGCAUCAUUCUGGCACAGAAUAAGGAACCAUGAAAUAACACGUAAGAGCUGGCACUGGAACAGCGGCUUAGGAAAAUGGGUGGAGGCAACCACAAAACUAUAAACUGCGCAUUCAGGAAGAGAAGAAAAAAAGACAAAAACAAAACAAAUCAAAGGGGGAAAACUGCCACUAGAAAUGGAUCUGCAAAUCAAAAUUCCAAAACACAUUUUAACGAUGAAAAAGUCUAAUGCUAAGAAAGACAGUAAAAUCAAUAAACAACAUGAAUUCAUUCCAGUUGACAUCAGUUUUAUAGAGAGAAGUCAUAAAAAUCUAUCAAUUUUAUAGACUAGUACUAAAAUCUAUCAGUUUUAUAGAGGAUAGGUUUUGAAGUAUAUAUACAUUUACGUUUCUCAAAGAAAUCAUAAAAACAUAUUAAAAAUAAGCAAUAAAUAUUAGAUGAAAAUAGGAAUGGAACAAGAAGAAGUGGGAAUAAAAAAGAUUAGGAAGGCCAGGCGCGGUGGCUCACACCUGUAAUCCCAGCACUUUGGGAGGCCGAGGCGGGCAGAUCACCUGAGGUUGGGAGUUCGAGACCAGCCUGACCAAUAUGGAGAAACCCUGUCUCUACUAAAAAUACAAAAUUAGCCGGGCAUGGUGGCACAUGCCUGUAAUCCCAGCUACUCAGGGGGCUGAGGCAGGAGAAGCACUUGAACCUGGGAGGUGGAGGUUGCAGUGAGCCGAGAUCAUGCCAUUGCACUCUAGCCUGGGCAACAAGAGUGAACUCUGUCUCAAAAAAAAAAAAAAAAAAAAAAAAUUAGGAAAAGCCCGGGCACAAUGGCUCAUGCCUGUAAUCCCAGCACUUUGGGAGGCCAAGGCAGGUGGAUCACCUGAGGUCAGGAGUUCGAGACCACCCUGGCUAACAUGGUGAAACACUGUCUCUUCUAAAAAUACAAAAUUAGCCAGGUGUGGUGGCGCAUGCCUGUAAUCCUAGCUACUCAGGAGGCUGAGGCAGGAGAAUUGCUUGAACCUGGGAGGUGGAGGUUGCAGUGAGCCGAGAUCACACCACUGCACUCUAGCCUGGGUGACAGAGUGAGACUCUGUCAAAAAAAAAAAAAAAAAAAAAAAAAAAAACUCAAGGAAAAAGAACAAACUGGAAAUCUUAGACACAAAAAAUAGCCAUUGAAUUUUUUAAGCCUCAAUAUUCAGGUUAAACUCUAGAUUGAGUGUAGUCAGAGAAAAAAUGAUGAAAUGGGGGAUAGUAUGGAAAAAUUUAUCCAAAAUGAAAUACAAAGAGGAAAAGAAGGAAAAAUAUGAAAGACAAGACAUAAGUAGAUUAAGGGACUCUAGCCUAAGAGAGAUCUAGAAGAGGACAGUAGAGAAGCUGGCUUUGUGUAUUUAUUUUUAUUUUUUGUUUCUGUUUCUAUUAGCAUCUUGCUACCCUCUUCUAAACUUUGUACCAGAGAUUUGGAAGGGAGAUUGGAGAUGAGUCAUUUUCUUCCUCCAGCAGAGGCAGUGGGUGUCUAGACUCGGUCAGACAUAGUUUAUGUAGAGUCUGGCUAGACUCCAUUCCCCUGCCACCCAUGGACCCCAGGGAUGCAGGAUAAGUGUGAUACCAGCAGAGAUUUCCUCCAGUUCUCUGACAUCUAUUAAUAGAUGAUAACAGCAGCUUCUAGACUCUCUGGACUAUAGCUACAGUGGUCAAUCUGAAAGUUACAUGCAUCCCCUGAUUUUCUUUUUGUUAGCACCCAAUUCCCUAUAUUUGAUCCCUUUCUGCUUGAAAUACCUAGAAUAGUUUCUUUUUUCUUUUUCUUUUUUUUUUGAGAUGGAGUCUGGCUCUGUCACCCAGGCUGGAGUGCACUGGUGUGAUCUUGGCUCACUGCAAGCUCCG